AUUUUCCCACCCCAAACCCCUUUAUUCUAGAUAGUCUUUUAUUUUUCUCCCACUUCCACAGAACUCUCUUUCAAAGGGUUUUAUUUUUCUCUUUCAAAACAACAAUGACGAUUCUAGAACAAUGGUGAUUUUCUCUUUCAAAGCAACAAUCACGAAUUUUCAACACUUCGAGACUUCGAUUCCGUUACCAUUCUCGCUCACAGGUUCUUCAACAUUUAAGCAAAAGUCAAGCAUCUUCCUAGUGAAAAGAUAAAAAUAAAGAUGAAAUGAAGGCUAGGUGCUGCUGCUAUAAGAUCAUCAGAUGAUUCACAAAAAGUUCAAGAACUCGAUAUAAAUCGCAUAUACUUGGAUGUUGUGGAUGGAGAGAAAAAAUGAUGUGUGUAUGGAUUGGGCUCUCAAGCUUUGACUUUGUAUCAACAUUGUAAUUCUGCCACUUCACGCAAUAUAGUGAUUGAUCAUGUUGCUGAAGAGCGCAUCAAAUUACUUGAGGAAGAGAUGUUGUGGAUGAAAGAAAAUCAAGAGAGGAUUCUUUAGGAGCGUGUAGAGGCGGAAGUGCAACAACGCGUAGAGAUGGAGGUCUCGGAUCGGUUUAAGUCUAUGGAGGAUCGAUGGUCUCACAUGAUGAAUGAGAUGGCGUUAUCUUCUCGCUCAUCUGAUAAUCCUACUCUCCCUAACAUGGACUCACAAAUGCUUAAGUGUUUAACAUUUUAGACUUUGGUUAGUUGGAUAUUCUAAGUGUUGUUUUCAACGUUGUCAGACUUUUGUUAGUUGGAUGCUUUGUAAGUUUAAAAUAUUUUGUAGACUUUUGCUUAUUGAAGUUGUGUAUUUGCGUGUUUUAACUUUAGGUUUUUGUAUUAUAAAUUUAAUAUUAUGUUUGUUA